rnacentral:rRNA from 1 species
GACAGAGGGUGCAAACGUUGUUCGGAAUUACUGGGCGUAAAGCGAGUGUAGGCGGUUUCCUAAGUCGGGUGUGAAAGCCCCGGGCUCAACCCGGGAAGUGCACUCGAAACUGGGAAGCUAGAGUAUCGGAGAGGUUGGGUGGAAUUCUCGGUGUAGAGGUGAAAUUCGUAGAUAUCGAGAGGAACACCGGUGGCGAAGGCGGCCAACUGGACGAAUACUGACGCUGAGACUCGAAAGCGUGGGGAGCAAACAGG